UCGUGUUCGUAGUGUCCCUAUAUCGCAUCGUCAUACCAAUUGCCUCCAUCUCAUCCGAUCGCCUCCAUUUGCAAAUCAAAAUCGAUUUCUCGCCUUUUUUCGAUUUGAAUGCUCUGUUCGAUCUCUUUCCUCCAAAUCAAUCUAGUUUUUUGAAAUCGGAAACACAUCAAUUUAGUGUGUUUUCAGAUCAGGAUGUCAAAGGAGAUCGAGAGACAGAUCGAUACAAAUGAUAGAUCUUAAAGUAUUUUUAUUAUCGAGAUAUGAUGAAGAAGUCGAUGAAAUCGAUCAGUUUUGUACUUGCCUAGGAGGAAGCUGUUUGACUUAUCACAGAUUCAUGUAGAAAUUCAGUAUAAGUAAGUUUUCCGAACUUCCAUGAAAGGAGUUGUGUUUAUUGAUUUGGGUGUAAGAUACAAGAUUAUGGCAGAAGAGAUAUUACAAAGAUAGAUACAGUUUAUUAAAUAUAAUUUAAUGGAGACGAUGGAUGGGGAUGACGGAUUUCAAAAUACCCAUGAACCAAAACGAUGUGAAUCUGCAAAAUUUAAGAUUGAUCAAGUAGUUUUUAUACUGGGGAAAGUUCACAUAAUAUGGAAAAAUUCACAAGUGAUUCACAUAUAAAUCACAUGUGAUUCGCAUGUAAUUACAAGUGAAUCACAUAUGAGUUACAUGCGAUUCAUAUGUAAUUUACAUAUGAAUCACAUGUAAUUUACAUAUGAAUCACAUGUAAUUCACAAGUGAUUCAGAUAUGAAUUACAUGUGAUUCACAUGUAAAUCACAUAUAAUUCACAUGUAAAUCACAAGUGAAUCACAUAUGAGUUACAUGUGAUUCAUAUGUAAUUUACAUAUGAGUCACAUGUAAUUCAUAAUUAAAUCAGAAGUGACUCACAUAUGAAUUACAUGUGAUUCACAUAUAAAUCACAUGUGAUUCACAUAUAAAUCACAUGUGAUUCACAUAUGAAUCACAUGUAAUUAACAAGUGAAUCAAAUAUGAAUUACAUUCAAAUAUAAAUUAUACUAGAUGAUAACCCGCGUUAAACGCGGGGGAACGUAUUAAAAAAAUUACCAAAACAUUUAUAUAUAUUGUAUAAUAAUUAUAAAAGAAAGUUUAUGGCUAUUUUUAUUAUUGAAAGGUGAAGAAGAAACACUGAAAUCGAUAAAUAACUAUAAAUGUUGCAGGACCUCUUUGUAGACAACGUUUUUUGUUUUAUUAGUUGAACGACCUUCAUCGUCACAUAUGAGUACCUUCAAAUUGUUUUUUCUUGUUACACAAGAAACAACUACAUAUAAUUGACUAUAGGUGAAGACAGGUCUACACAUGUAUAAUCCAAUAUUUGAUAAUGAGUAUCUUUGACUUUUGUUAAUGGUCAAAGCAAAACAAACUGCUAUUGGGAAUUACCUACGUUGAAAACAAAAUGGAAUUUUUUUA